AUUGAACGCUAGCGGGAUGCUUUACACAUGCAAGUCGAACGAGUGGCGGACGGGUGAGUAAUAUUUCGGAACGUGCCCAGUAGCGGGGGAUAACUACUCGAAAGUGUGGCUAAUACCGCUUACAAUAUGAGCGGCCGACAUCGGAUUAGGUAGUUGGGGGGGUAAAGGCUCACCAAGGCAACGAUCCGUAGCUGGUUUGAGAGGAGGACCAGCCACACUGGGACUGAGACACGGCCCAGACUCCUACGGGAGGCAGCAGUGGGGAAUUUUGGACAAUGGGGGAAACCCUGAUCCAGCCAUCCCGCGUGUAUGAGAAGGCCUUCGGGUUGUAAAGUACUUUUGGCAGAGAAGCGGUAUCUGCAGAAGAAGCACCGGCUAACUACGUGCCAGCAGCCGCGGUAAUUC
rnacentral:rRNA from 1 species